rnacentral:lncRNA from 1 species
UCAGUGCCACUAAUGACAAUCAAAAUUGAAAAAUGAUUUAUUCAGUGGGAAAUUUAUUAAAUAAAUAAUGACAUAUCUUCUCAAUGGAAUAUUAUGCAAUCACUAAAAAUGAUUGUGUAGAUCUAUAUUUAUUGAAAGAGCUAUCAGUGACCUAUUAUUAAGUGAAAACGUGCUGAAACAUUUUGUUGCACUGUUAACCACACCACUGCAUCCUCUGCCUUCUCUCAGAGUAUUCUUUACAGGUCCUUUACUUAACUGAGGAGCAGAUUAGAAAUGAGUCUUUGGAAAUAACUGGCAAAAAUAUUCUUACAUGAGCAGAUUAUUUGGAUGCCAGCAUUUGCUGGAGGCCUCAAGAUGGCAUCAAAGAAGAUGGAAGAUGGAACAAGGUUUUGAGGGACCUGGUACUGAGUUGAUCUGCCUUGUGGUGUUCAGAGUAGCUAUGAGGAACAGGGAUGAAGUAUGGAUUCUCAGUGGGCUGCAGAACUUGAUGAAGUGAAAAGGAAUCAGCUAUACUUCAUGAAAGAAAGGAAAAUGUGCUUUUCCCCAACUGCUCCACAUCGCUUUGGUUCAGGAUGAAGCAGAGCAACCAGUCAUUUUGUCCUCUAGCAUGCAGUAUUUAAGUGUAAUAUGUGAUCCAUAUAAACAUAAAGAAGUAGAUGUUCAUGCUUCUUUUAGGUAUGAUCCCAUAUUUUUAUCCUGUUUUGUUUAUUGCUAGUAGUUUCAUAUUCUUGUUUUGUAUUUGUUUGAAUCCAUGAUCUUUUUCAUCACAU